rnacentral:rRNA from 1 species
AUCUGGUUGAUUCUGCCAGUAGUCAUAUGCUUGUCUCAAAGAUUAAGCCAUGCAUGUCUAAGUAUAAGCACUUUAUACUGUGAAACUGCGAAUGGCUCAUUAAAUCAGUUAUCGUUUAUUUGAUAGUACCUUACUACAUGGAUACCUGUGGUAAUUCUAGAGCUAAUACAUGCUGAAAACCUCGACUUCGGAAGGGGUGUAUUUAUUAGAUAAAAAACCAAUGCCCUUCGGGGCUCCUUGGUGAAUCAUAAUAACUUAACGAAUCGCAUGGCCUUGCGCCGGCGAUGGUUCAUUCAAAUUUCUGCCCUAUCAACUUUCGAUGGUAGGAUAGUGGCCUACCAUGGUGGCAACGGGUAACGGGGAAUUAGGGUUCGAUUCCGGAGAGGGAGCCUGAGAAACGGCUACCACAUCCAAGGAAGGCAGCAGGCGCGCAAUUACCCAAUCCCGACACGGGGAGGUAGUGACAAUAAAUACUGAUACGGGGCUCUUUUGGGUUCGUAAUUGGAAUGAGUACAAUCUAAAUCCUUAACGAGGAACAAUUGGAGGGCAAGUCUGGUGCCAGCAGCCGCGGUAAUUCCAGCUCCAAUAGCGUAUAUUAAAGUUGUUGCAGUUAAAAAGCUCGUAGUUGAACCUUGGGUCUGGCUGGCCGGUCCGCCUCACCGCGAGUACUGGUCCGGCUGGACCUUUCCUUCUGGGGAAUCUCAUGGCCUUCACUGGCUGUGGGGGGAACCAGACUUUUACUGUGAAAAAAUUAGAGUGUUCAAAGCAGGCCUUUGCUCGAAUACAUUAGCAUGGAAUAAUAGAAUAGAGUGCGGUUCUAUUUUGUUGGUUUCUAGGACCGCCGUAAUGAUUAAUAGGGAUAGUCGGGGGCGUCAGUAUUCAGCUGUCAGAGGUGAAAUUCUUGGAUUUGCUGAAGACUAACUACUGCGAAAGCAUUCGCCAAGGAUGUUUUCAUUAAUCAGGGAACGAAAGUUAGGGAUCGAAGACGAUCAGAUACCGUCGUAGUCUUAACCAUAAACUAUGCCGACUAGGGAUCGGACGGUGUUUCUAUUAUGACCCGUUCGGCACCUUACGAGAAAUCAAAGUUUUUGGGUUCUGGGGGGAGUAUGGUCGCAAGGCUGAAACUUAAAGAAUUGACGGAAAGGGCACCACCAGGCGUGGAGCCUGCGGCUUAAUUUGACUCAACACGGGGAAACUCACCAGGUCCAGACAAAUAAGGAUUGACAGAUUGAGAGCUCUUUCUUGAUCUUUUGGAUGGUGGUGCAUGGCCGUUCUUAGUUGGUGGAGUGAUUGUCUGCUUAAUUGCGAUAACGAACGAGACCUCGGCCUUAAAUAGCCCGGUCCGCAUUUGCGGGCCGCUGGCUUCUUAGGGGGACUAUCGGCUCAAGCCGAUGGAAGUGCGCGGCAAUAACAGGUCUGUGAUGCCCUUAGAUGUUCUGGGCCGCACGCGCGCUACACUGACAGGGCCAGCGAGUACAUCACCUUGGCCGAGAGGUCUGGGUAAUCUUGUUAAACCCUGUCGUGCUGGGGAUAGAGCAUUGCAAUAUUGCUCUUCAACGAGGAAUGCCUAGUAGGCACGAGUCAUCAGCUCGUGCGAUUACGUCCCUGCCCUUUGUACACACCGCCGUCGCUACUACCGAUUGAAUGGCUCGGUGAGGCCUUCGGACUGGCUCAGGAGGUUGGCAACGACCCCCAGAGCGGAAAGUUGGUCAAACCCGGUCAUUUAGAGGAAGUAAAAGUCGUAAAAGGUUUCGUAGGUGAACCUGCGAAGGAUCAUUA